CCUCCUUAAUGCCAUUAGAAGAUCCCUUAAAUAAAACCAAAGAUUAUUCAGUUGUUGAACUGGUUUCAAGUAGAAUACAUGUCGAGUUCGAGUAGAUUUUGAUAGUGAAAGUGAAAUGACACCAAGGACCUGCUGUAAGCUGAGCUGGUCCUACCUCUAGAUCCAUUAAUACCUGAGAUAAUAAAAUGAGUGUAGAGUCAGCAUAGCAGUGGGUUAAGAAGUUGAAGUCACUUCAUAGUUUUGUGAGCCGUUCUGGUAUGCACUUAUGCCAAGUGGAAAGAUGUGUGCUUUCAUUCAGCACAACUGAUGGAAAGUUGGUCUGAUGUUUUGUUUGUCCCUGAAGCAGGAACUUCUGUCUGGAUUUAACAUCCUGCUGCUGUUGAAAUCCUGUCAGAGCACAUCUUCUACUUCUUUUUCUUCUUCUUCUCCUUCUUCACUGCUUUUUUUUUUUUUUUUUUUUUAAAGGGGGAUUUAUUUGCAGAUCAAAUUGAUCUGAACGCUCACAGCCUCAACUCCUCGCGGUUGGCUCGCAAAAUCACACUUUCUGUGACAUUCGGCUGCUUUAAAUAAUCAUCUGCCCAGCAGCAGAGAUCCAUGCAGCCAGCUGUUGAUCCAUGUUGGCUGUCAGUUCUGACAGCUUUGUCUUUAGCAGGAUCCUCAUUUUAUUUGCAUGUCUUGUCACAAGGGAAAAUAUGUGCAAGGAAAAGGUUUAGUUCAUUUAGGGACCAUCUGUUGAUGCAUAUUCCUUCUGCAGAGGUCUAAGGUCAUAGGUGAAAACAAGAAUUGACUUUCCUUUUUGAAAAUAAAUGUGAGUAAAUUUUUAUGCUUUCCGUAAGAAUGUUUAUUUUACCUUUUUUCUGAAUUGUCACAACUUGGGAGAUCAAUUCAAUAUCAUAACUUAGACAUCAGAGAACUAUCUUGCUGGAGUCCUGCAACAGAUGCUCUGGCUGUCAGCUGUAUCACCUAUGAGUGGAAAGCAUGUCUGCAGUCUAGUAUUUGAAGGCCUUGUGUGUCAGCCUGAAGGCCGCAUACACGUCAUAAAAGAUAUUAAUGCUAAAAGCAGUCGACCGUCAUCCUCCUGAAUCAGCCAG
ensembl:lncRNA